UACGUAGGGGGCAAGCGUUAUCCGGAUUUACUGGGUGUAAAGGGAGCGUAGACGGCAGCGCAAGUCUGGAGUGAAAUCCCAUGGCUUAACCAUGGAACUGCUUUGGAAACUGUGCAGCUAGAGUGCAAGAGAGGUAAGCGGAAUUCCUAGUGUAGCGGUGAAAUGCGUAGAUAUUAGGAGGAACACCAGUGGCGAAGGCGGCUUACUGGACGGUAACUGACGUUGAGGCUCGAAAGCGUGGGGAGCAAACAGG
rnacentral:rRNA from 1 species